UUUACAAGCAGUUUGUGCAUAAAAUUGCAAUUCAACAUCAACUGUUGAAUGGAUUCUUCGGAGUUUGAAAAUAAACAUCAAGCAUUACAAUGUUCAGAAAUCUUGAGAACAUAUUUGAUAAUAAAAACGUAAAAAGUCAAAGUUAUGUUGCGAGCCAAGAGUUGGAACAUUUAUACGUUAUCAUAACGUGUGCACGGAUAGACGAAACAAUUGAACAAAGACUAUUCCAUUUCCAUAGUUGAAUUUGCUGUUGGAAGUUGUUUUUAAAAUCAGUAUAUUGAUACUGUGCGUUACCUAUAUAUAAAGAGGGGUUAGUUCGCAGUACCUAAUCAUCAUCGUCUUCAUUAUUUAAUUUACCUCGAGAAAAACGGUAUGUUCCUCAGCUUCAUCUUAUUUGUCUUGAUUGCCAUGCCAACCUCCUCUUCUUCGACCGAAGUGAUACUCAAGGGGGAUUAUAGAGUAGUAGAUGUGUGCCCGGAUAUGCAAGACCUUGCUUGCAUUCAGUUCCAAGAAUGCACAGAACAACAGGUUGUGCUUGAAUGCCCAAGUGGUUCUUACCAGGUGUUCCAUCCGUCCUGCGGUGGUUGCCCAAGAUGCUGCCCUGUUUAAAUUACCUAUCGGACACUGAUUGUACUGUGUUUCAUACGUUUAUACGUCUAUGUUAUGUAAGCCCUUGUAAUUGUUGUGUGUGGAUGGUAUUUUGUGUACAUUUCUGCUCUUAAUUUGAUGCAGCUGCUUACUGUAUCAUAUAUUUAUGUACCAAUGCUUGUCAUCUCUUUCGUAAAUUUAAUAAAGAUUGUGUCAGUUUGAUAA